UGGGGGAUAUUGGUCAAUGGGGGAAACCCUGAACCAGCAAUGCCGCGUGAGGGAAGAAGGUCUUCGGAUUGUAAACCUAAGUAGUCAGGGACGAAGAAAGUGACGGUACCUGAAGAGUAAGCUCCGGCUAACUACGUGCCAGCAGCCGCGGUAAUACGUAGGGAGCGAGCGUUGUCCGGAUUUACUGGGUGUAAAGGGUGCGUAGGCGGGUCGGCAAGUCAGAUGUGAAAUACCGGGGCUUAACUCCGGGGCUGCAUUUGAAACUGUUGAUCUUGAGUGAAGUAGAGGCAGGCGGAAUUCCUAGUGUAGCGGUGAAAUGCGUAGAUAUUAGGAGGAACACCAGUGGCGAAGGCGGCCUGCUGGGCUUUAACUGACGCUGAGGCACGAAAGCAUGGGGAGCAAACAGGAUUAGAUACCCUGGUAGU
rnacentral:rRNA from 1 species